rnacentral:rRNA from 1 species
GGCUGUGUCUAUGGCGGUGGGGAAACACCCGUUUCCAUUCCGAACACGGAAGUUAAGCCCACCAGCGGCGAUGAUACUGCAGCCUUAGCUGUGGGAAAGUAGCUCGACGCAGCCU